UUAUAUAUUGAAUUUGCAAAGUGCAAAAUCGUUGUCUAAAGCCAAAAAAUUGUCAGAUAGUACUUAGAAUUUUGUCCGCACCGUCUAUGACUCAAGGAAGGAUGGGACGAGAAAUCUGUUCUUCUGUGUCCCUAAAGGCGUGAAUGUGUCAACGAGUCUUCAACUCUUCCUAAACCACGGAAAAAAAUUACAAAAUCCAACCGUAAUCAUUUAACCCCAAAAGCAGGAAGAAAAAAUGGGAAAAGAAAAGAAAAUUUCCGUAAGAUCCCACAGGCGCAGCAGCCAAAACAACAGAUAACGGUACUGCCCAGCCUCAACCUUCUCAACGUCUUCAGCUUGUCCAACUGAGCUCCGUUUCGUCACCCGACCCGCCCCGACCUCAUCAGGUACAUAAGCAAAUCAUUGUUAUUAACAUGCUUCCCUGUCAUAUGUUUGACAAUUUUACGGAGAACAAGGAGGAUCUUUUUUUCUCCUGGUGAAAAUUCAUGUGGGAAUUUUGAAGCUUCCUUAUGUGUUUUGUGUGUUGGUGAGAAUUUAG